rnacentral:rRNA from 1 species
GAUGAACGCUGGCGGCGUGCCUAAUACAUGCAAGUCGAGCGAACAGACGAGGCGCUUGUUCCUCUGACGUUAGCGGCGGACGGGUGUGUAACACGUGGAUCACCUCCCUAUCAGACUGUGAUAACUUCGGGAAACCGGAGCUAAUACCGGAUAAUCUACUGAACCGUAUGGUGCAAUAGUGAAAGACGGCUUUUCUGUCACUUCUCGAUGCUUCCCCGCCGCCUUAGCUAGUAGGUACGGACACGGCUUACCAAGGCAGCGCUGCGUAGCCGACCUGAGAGGGUGAUCGGCCGCACGGGAAGAGGGACGCGCUCCAGAGUCCUGCGGUAGGCAGCAGUAGGGAAUGGUCCGCAGAGGGCGAAAGCCUGACGGAGCAACGCGGAGUGAGUGAUGGAGGUGUCCGGAGCGGAAAGCUCUGUUAUUAGGGGAGAACAGAUGUGGAAGUAGCUGUGGACGUCUUGACGGUACCGAAUCAGAAAGCCACGGCUAACUACGUG